UGUAGGGGGUGGUGGCUCGCCUCUCACUGACACAGACAGACAGAGGCCGACUCACCCCUCGCGAACACCCCCCACACCCCCACACCCACUGUCAUGCGCGCACCUCAGCGCACCUGACUCUCACUGAGAAUCUUGUCUUGAAAUCUAUUCAACCAAAUGCCAUGGCUUUCUCCAUGAACUCCAUAUUACAGCACCACACCAACUGCUGUUCGCUCAACACCCGCUUAGCUCAGCGGCAACAUGGAUUUGAAUCACCGACCUUUAAUUUAAUUUUGUUGUAAUUUUUAAUUAGGAGCAAGAAAUAUUUUAUUUUAUUUUUCGAAUAUUUGCCUGUUUUCAUGUGUGUUUGUGGACUUUUCGUGCUCGUGACUUGCUCUCUGUGCAAUGACAAUGCCUGUAUGUACUAAUUUUCUUCUCACCUGACGAAGAGGAUAGAUUUCAAUCCUCGAAACGUUGUGUUAUAAAUUUUGCAACAUGUAACGAUGACAAAUAUCCGAAAUCCUGUUACCCCCAUAUACCUUGGGCCAAAAUAUUUUAAUGCCUUCCAGACUAUAUUAAAACUAGUGAACCCUUUCAAUACCGUUUCUUAUUAACAGAGCCUUUCAUACCCUGAAGAAAUUCUUUGGGACUUAUCUCUGACGGUAUAGGUUUAUUAAAUUGUAUUUUUCAAAAGUCAUGUAAUUUUUUUCAGUAUUUGAAUAUAAUAUACGGUUAUGAUAGUGUUCUAUAAAAUGUUAAACCGUUAUGAACUACACAAAAUUUGAUUAGAUUUGAAAUAAUUAUUGGCUCCAACUCCACUUGAUGUCCAUAAAACGUUAAUGCCAAUGUAGGUCUUGGUUAAGAUGCUUAAAUACAACCGGAAUCGUGAUAAAUAGAAUAAAUACUUAAUCAAAUAACACAUUGCAACAGCCGGACUAGACUUCUCUAAACCGUUAUAGAACUUGUUUCAAUAUUAAAGUAUUUUAAAAAUAGCA